CCUACGGGAGGCAGCAGUCGGGAAUCUUGCACAAUGGGGGAAACCCUGAUGCAGCGACGCCGCGUGGAGGAUGAAGGAUCUAGGUCUGUAAACUCCUUUUAUCGGGAAAGACUUAGGACGGUACCCGAUGAAUAAGCACCGGCUAACUACGUGCCAGCAGCCGCGGUAAGACGUAGGGUGCGAGCGUUGUCCGGAUUCACUGGGCGUAAAGAACGCGUAGGCGGCCUGUUAAGUGUGAAGUGAAAUCUCCAGGGCUCAACCCGGAAACUGCUUCGCAUACUGGCAGGCUGGAGGAAUGCAGAGGUGAGUGGAAUUCCUGGGGUAGCGGUGAAAUGCGUUGAUAUCAGGAGGAACACCCGUGGCGAAGGCGG
rnacentral:rRNA from 1 species